rnacentral:rRNA from 1 species
UCAGGAUGAACGCUGGCGGCGUGCCUAACACAUGCAAGUCGAACGAAGCAUACGGACCGGAGAUUCGUCGAAGGACCGUAUGACUUAGUGGCGGACGGGUGAGUAAUGUAUGAGCAACCUGCCUUUCAGAGGGGGACAACAGUUGGAAACGACUGCUAAUACCGCGUAACGUAUCGUGGGGGCAUCCUCGUGAUACCAAAGGAGCAAUCCGCUGAAAGAUGGGCUCAUAUCUGAUUAGCUUGUUGGCGGGGUAACGGCCCACCAAGGCGACGAUCAGUAGCCGGACUGAGAGGUUGAACGGCCACAUUGGGACUGAGAUACGGCCCAGACUCCUACGGGAGGCAGCAGUGGGGAAUAUUGGGCAAUGGGCGAAAGCCCUGACCCAGCAACGCCGCGUGAAGGAAGAAGGUCUUCGGAUUGUAAACUUCUUUUAUGAGGGACGAAGGACGUGACGGUACCUCAUGAAUAAGCCACGGCUAACUACGUGCCAGCAGCCGC